rnacentral:lncRNA from 1 species
UUUCCCUUUUUUUAGUUUAGGAUUUCCCGCUUUCUAAUUAUGAUUUGAUGUGCUUUCUAAUCUAUGAGUCACUUUUAAAUUUUUUUAGUUUUUGUCGAGCUAUCAAUGUAAAACAUAGCGUUGCGUGGGAGGCAACCGACGAUUUCUAUUUUUCUACUGCCAUUUUAAUUUUUAUCUUUCAGUUUUUAUUUUAAUUUAAUUUUGAUUUGAUUUAUUUUUCAUUUCAUUUGGUUUAAUUCACAAACUUAAUUGAUUAUUUUAAGGCCAUGUACUUAAG